CCUACGGGGGGCUGCAGUGGGGAAUAUUGGUCAAUGGGCGCAAGCCUGAACCAGCCACGCCGCGUGAGUGAUGAAGACCUUCGGGUUGUAAAGCUCUGUGGGGAGGGAAGAAAACGUAUGGCAAGAAACGGCCAUGCCUUGACGGUACCUCCUUAGCAAGCACCGGCUAACUCUGUGCCAGCAGCCGCGGUAAUACAGAGGGUGCGAACGUUGCUCGGAAUUACUGGGCGUAAAGCGCGUGUAGGCGGGACCGCAAGUCAGAUGUGGAAUCCCUGGGCUCAACCCAGGAGCUGCAUCUGAAACUGCGGACCUUGAGUACUGGAGAGGGCGGCGGAAUUCCUGGUGUAGAGGUGAAAUUCGUAGAUAUCAGGAGGAACACCGGUGGCGAAGGCGGCCGCCUGGACAGUCACUGACGCUGAGACGCGAAAGCGUGGGGAGCAAACAGGAUUAGAUACCCGAGUAGUC
rnacentral:rRNA from 1 species